GCUAUGCAAUUAGCCAAUGGACUUAUUAAUUUGGCUAGAUUUUAAUAAAUUGAUUAAAAUGUCAAUUAAUUUAGGUUAUCUCUUAAAUAGUUUAAUUCCCAACACAAAAUAAAUGUGUAAAUCUACUCCAUGCCCAAAUUUUGGCUGAUCCAUACAGCCCAACAACAAUUAAAAGCCCUCACCUUAAUUCUAAUUCAACCUACCAGCCUAACAGCUUCAUCAAACAACCCAACAGCCCACAACCUGACUCGGCCCAACUAUAUUUCCCCUUUUUCUUUUACAGCAAACAACAGCUUCCACAAUAUCAACAAAAACCAACGCACAGUAACACAGCCGAGAACAACGACAAUCAAUGCAAUGCCGAACAACGCUAAAACCACCGAACAUCGGGAAAUCCGGUGGUUUUUAACCUCUCUCCUUGUUUAUCUUAUCUGGUCAUCCGAGAUUUCAGCCUGUCUCCAUCAACAUCUUUUCAAUGCUCUUUCUCUUCCUAUUUUUCUGAAAAAAAUCAAACCAAAAGGGAUUGUUUUUCUCCACUGCAGACCUCUGAGAAGAGAAAUAUAUGGAAAUUCGAUGCUCUUUGGGGUGUUGUUUCUUUGAUUCAGUGGACAAACAAUUGCUCACCUUGAAGAACCCAAUUGGUCAAAAAUCAAAUCUCCUCAAUCUCAAUCUUUCAAAUUUACUCGGAAAAGACCACUCUCACCGUUACCUUUCGUCGUUCAAACUCGGUGAAAAGUUAGUGGUGGAACUGCUGGUCGGCUUGGCUUCCUGGUUCGCUGCCCCAAAAAAGGUGAGAACUUUCUCCCUAAUCUCCUUCGUAUGACUGAAAACUAUGAUGUGAAAAUUGGUUGUGUUUAUUGUCGUUUUAUCGCUGAUUUGAUUGUGCUGUUCGGGAGUAGCAUCCAAAGACUUGUAUUAGGAUUAUUUGAUAUGAUUUCACCCUUUUAUUCUUAGGUAGUCCACAGUCCACAGAGAAUAUUCCGACUGAUUUUCAUUGUCAUAUCCCACAUAAUUGGACCUACUGUUUAUUCCUGAAAUAGUUUAAUGUGGUUUUUCAUUCUAUUUGAGAUAACACCUUAAAGCAACCCUGUAACUGAAAAUUUUACAAAUUUCACCUGCUAGACAUAACUCAUGCUAAUUUGUAACAUAGUUUACUAGUGACUUGCUUCAUGUUGAUUAUUACAUAGUGUGAUGUUUAUAGUUCCACUUGUCCGAAGUUUCCCGUAUGUUGAAAAAUUUAGCUUUAAGAGAGAUCGUGACCUUGAAAAUGCACUAAUUACCUGUUUUUAUGUUGUGAAUUUUUUUGUUUAUCAUUGGGAUGCAACAGCUCUUGAGAAUUUAACUCAAUUGUUUAUGACAUCCGUGAUUGACCUCUUUUAAUAAAGUUUGAAUCAAUGAAGUUCUGAAAAAUGUGUUUUUUCAUAAACUUAACCAAGAAAUCCUUUCCGUAAGUUAGAUUUGUCAAAGUUGAGCCUCUUUCCUCUUGAAACGGUUGUUUGAGCAUGAGUAUGACAUUUUAUCUGUUGCUGCCCGGAUUUUAAGUAGAUAUGAUCCCGAUCUUCUCUUGAUGUAUGUUAUUGUUCACCAUUACCUGUAACUAGGCCAAAAACACCUGUGUAUUUCUUUUUAAUGAUAGGUUGUUAGGAGUUAGGACCAACAAAGAUUUAUCCCACUUUAGACAUAUUCAGGGGUGUGGUAAAUAAAUCAAUAAAUAAAUAAAUAAAUAAAUGUUUAAGAUAUUUUAUUAAGCUGUUUUAUUCUUUUUAGCCUUUUUCCUUGCUUGAUAAGUUUCACCCAUAUGUGCUUUCUAUGAGCUACUUAAUGAAUGCAUUAAUUUGUUUGUGAUAUGUACUACUUGCAAUCUAAGUACCAAAAUUAUGGUUUAUGUUUUGUGUGAAUAAAUUGUUCUCUAAUUGACUGUUGUUCAAAUGUAAGCAGAAAUAUUCAUGAUCAAUAUAUCUCUAAGUGGUUGUUGGUGUUUUUUCCAAGAUUAUAUAUUUCUACGCAUUGCUUAUAAUGAGAGGUAAUAUAGCUUAGGGUAGAUAAGAGGAUGUGAAGGUUGGAUAUUAGGAUAGAAGGUGUAGAUAUCCAAAGUUAUACUAGGGUUUUCUUCAUUAGCUAUAUUUUUGAAUUAGUAGCACCUAUGUUUACACUGUUGCUAUAACAUUUUAGUAGUAAAGUUGUUUUAUCCUCCAAAACCCUGACACCAUGAAAAUAUAUUUGCAUAUAUUUGAUUUAUGUGGGAAUAUUUAAAUCGUUCGUACGUAUCAUUUUCCUUUAUCGUGUUUAAUCAUGUUCUUUCUUCAUCGAAACUCACAUACUAAUCUUUUUUUUAUCCCAUUUAUGCAUGAACCUCCUCAUCGAGUCCAUCGGACUCCCAUCUAUCGCUUUCCGUUGGGUUAAACCCAACCCCCAUCGAGUCAAGCUUCAUUAAAGUCCAAAAAUGGACUUAUAUACGCAAGACAACACUGUUAUACAGAUGAUAUACAUUAGGAGGCAGCAGCUGCACAUUGUACCGUGGUUCAUGACGAAAAAUGGAGUCGAAAUACGCAGCUUACCGCUCUGAUAUACACCGUAUAUGCAGUGGUAUUCCCAAAAACGCAGACAAUAAGCUGCUGAGAUACAGAAGAUAUACAAGGGCAAAAAAUGGGCUAAAGUCCAUGGAAUUGGUCCAAAAUUGACAGAUUUUUUAAUGGGCCAAAAGGAGCCCAAUUCUCACUCUCCUCUCUUUAAUUAUGGAAAAAAAAAAUCUAAAUAUACCUCCUUAGAUUAUAAAUUGCAAGUCGUAGCAAAACUUCUUAGAUUGCAACUAAUAACAAGUUUUUUAAAAAAUAAAAUAAUAAUAAUUUAAAACAAACAAAAUUAAAAAUAAAACAUUUUUUUAUAUGCUAAUUAAAAAAACUUUCAUUUUAAUAGGAGUUAGUUAGUAUGUGAGCUAAAAUUAUGGAACCUAUUAAUGUGCAUGUUUUUUUCUAUUUCUUAAAUUAUAUUUAUAUUCAUUUUUUAAAAAGAAAAACAAAUACUUCUUUUUACAUAAUUCAUUCUUACUCAAUUUCUAUUUUAAUUUCUAAUUGAUGAAUUUUGAAUUCACAAUAGAAUUGGUGAUAGUAAAUAUUAUAUGUUAAUAAUUUAUUUUAAAUUUGUGAAUUGUAUUCAACCUAUUAUUCAUGUAUUAUUUUAUACCGUUAAGCUAAAUUAAUUUAUAUAUAAUAAAGUCAUAUUUUAAAUAAUUUUUUAUUUUUGGUUUCUCAAUUUAUGAAAUUUGUAUAUAAAAUUCUAUAUAAAUGAUAUAUUUUUUAACUGUUUCUAGUGUAUGAAAAUGGUUCAUAAUAUGAUAUCCACGAAUUAGUUUAAUAAAUUUUAUCAAAGUCAUUUUAUACUCUUGUCAUACUUAAAGGUUUUUUUUUUUUAAGGGGGUGGGGGUCUCAAUGUAUGAAAUUGACAUUAAAAUUGGUAUUGAUGAAGUUUCG